CUGGCUCAGGAUGAACGCUAGCGGGCAGGCUUAACACAUGCAAGUCGAGGGGCAUCGGGAGUAGCAAUACUGCCGGCGACCGGCGCAAGGGUGCGUAACGCGUGAGCAACAUGCCCGUAUCAGGGGGAUAAUCCAUGGAAACGUGGUCUAAUACCCCAUAGUAAUUAUGUAAGGCAUCUUAUAUAAUUUAAAGCUUUGGUGGAUACGGAUUGGCUCGCGUGACAUUAGCUGGAUGGUAAGGUAACGGCUUACCAUGGCUACGAUGUCUAGGGGUUCUGAGAGGAAGGUCCCCCACACUGGAACUGAGACACGGUCCAGACUCCUACGGGAGGCAGCAGUGAGGAAUAUUGGACAAUGGAUGGAAAUCUGAUCCAGCCAUGCCGCGUGCAGGAAGACGGCCCUAUGGGUUGUAAACUGCUUUUGUAUGGGAGCAAUAAGGGCUACGUGUAGUCCGAUGAGAGUACCAUACGAAUAAGCACCGGCUAACUCCGUGCCAGCCGCAGC
rnacentral:rRNA from 1 species